rnacentral:rRNA from 1 species
AUUGAACGCUGGCGGAAUGCUUUACACAUGCAAGUCGAACGGUAGAGGGGGCAACCCCUUGAGAGUGGCGAACGGGUGAGUAAUAUAUCGGAACGUGCCCAGUCGUGGGGAUAACGUAGCGAAAGUUACGCUAAUACCGCAUACGAUCUAAGGAUGAAAGCGGGGGAUCGCAGACCUCGCGCGAUUGGAGCGGCCGAUAUCAGAUUAGGUAGUUGGUGAGGUAAAGGCUCACCAAGCCAACGAUCUGUAGCUGGUCUGAGAGGACGACCAGCCACACUGGAACUGAGACACGGUCCAGACUCCUACGGAGGCAGCAGUGGGAAUUUGGACAAUGGACGC